GACGAACCGAGCGAACGUUGUUCGGAAUCACUGGGCUUAAAGGGCGCGUAGGCGGGCUGUCAAGUCUGGGGUGAAAUCCCGCGGCUCAACCGUGGAACUGCCUCAGAUACUGACGGUCUCGAGGGGGAUAGGGGCGAGCGGAACUGUGAGUGGAGCGGUGAAAUGCGUUGAUAUUCACAGGAACUCCGGUGGCGAAGGCGGCUCGCUGGAUCUCUUCUGACGCUGAGGCGCGAAAGCUAGGGGAGCAAACGGA
rnacentral:rRNA from 1 species